GAUGAACGCUGGCGGCGUGCCUAAUACAUGCAAGUCGAGCGAACAGACGAGGAGCUUGCUCCUCUGACGUUAGCGGCGGACGGGUGGGUAACACGUGGAUAACCUACCUAUAAGACUGGGAUAACUUCGGGAAACCGGAGCUAAUACCGGAUAAUAUAUUGAACCGCAUGGUUCAAUAGUGAAAGACGGUUUUGCUGUCACUUAUAGAUGGAUCCGCGCCGCAUUAGCUAGUUGGUAAGGUAACGGCUUACCAAGGCAACGAUGCGUAGCCGACCUGAGAGGGUGAUCGGCCACACUGGAACUGAGACACGGUCCAGACUCCUACGGGAGGCAGCAGUAGGGAAUCUUCCGCAAUGGGCGAAAGCCUGACGGAGCAACGCCGCGUGAGUGAUGAAGGUCUUCGGAUCGUAAAACUCUGUUAUUAGGGAAGAACAAAUGUGUAAGUAACUAUGCACGUCUUGACAGUACCUAAUCAGAAAGCCACGGCUAACUACGUG
rnacentral:rRNA from 1 species